rnacentral:misc_RNA from 1 species
GUGAAUAUAUUUCAAGGCGCCUUAUUCCAUGAAGAUGCUGUUGAAGAUAUUCAUGGACUUGAACCUAUUGAGUCCGGUCAGGUGGACACUCAAAGGAGCAACAGAGAGAGUCACUAUAAAAUUUCGAAAUCUAAGACUAGGCCAUCGAAUCUGACUCAAAAACCUGCUGCUCAUAGGGGUUUCAUGGCACGUGCUAAAGGCAUACCUGCAUUGGAGCUGUACAGGCUUGCCCAGAAAAAGAAACGCAGACUAGUAUUAUGUGGGCAUUCACUUGGUGGAGCAGUAGCAGUCUUGGCAACCCUUGCAAUUCUGAGGGUUUUUGCUGCUUCAUCAAAAGAUAAUGAAAAAGUUCAGGUGAAGUGUAUCACAUUUUCCCAACCACCAGUGGGAAAUGCCGCAUUGAGAGACUAUGUGAAUGAGAAAGGUUGGCAGCAGUAUUUCAAAACCUACUGUAUUCCUGAAGAUCUGGUGCCGCGCAUCUUA